GUAUGGGUGCAUCGCAGAUGCGUGGGGUAACAACGAUGUGGUCCUGCAGUGCUGGAAACUCUUUGGCCCGAGGAAAACACCCUGAAUCCACUCUGCAGCGCACGCCAGCUCCGACCGUGGGGCCUGCUGCCCCGUGGGGCCUGGCUGCUGGGGCUGAGGGCUUGGCCUGCGAUGAGCCGCCUGCUGGGGAGGCAAAGCCCCUGCAGAUAGUGGUCACUGCUGCCCUGCAGGAGUCCCCUGCACCCCUGGGAGCCCUGGAUGAGGAGCAGGCGCCACCCCCUGCUCUCGAGGUCGUGGAUGUGCCCCAGCCACCACCUAACUCGAUGGAGCAACUGGCCUCGGGGAUGGAGCAACCCGUUGAGCCACCCGAAGAGCCCGCCCCAGCUCCCACUGUGGAGCCUGGGGAAGGUUCAGGGUCUGAAGGGAUAGUGGCUGCUGGAGAUGAGGACCUGGUCAAGGCAGAGAUGCUGGUUCCUGAGGUGAAGGUGGUGCACGUGUUGGUCGAACCUAUGGUUCCUUGCCACGAUGAGGAGGAGCCCCCUGCUCCCAUGGCCACCCCGGAGGAGUAGGCCCUGGUGCCUGCAAUCGGGGUCCCCAGAGGGCCAGACCUGCAACCUGCCUCUGGAACAACCUGCUUUGACCCGUUAGCAGCCCCCUUAGCAGCCCCCUGACCACCUCAGGGGCCCGCCCCAGCUCCCACCGCGGGGCUCGUGAUGGCUGCAGCCCAACAGGGGCUUGCCCUCCCCUGUUAUUUCACUGUUUCUAUAUUUUGAGUUUUUCUUUAACCUUUAACCUGUAUAAUGGCUUAUAGAAUUUUUUUUUUUUUUUUUUUUUUUUUUAGCCAAAUCUCCUUCGUUUAUCUACCCAAGUCCCAUAGUACAAAUCCCUGGCUUAUAGAGUUUUAUUGUAAUAAAGGAUAAGUUAACU
rnacentral:lncRNA from 12 species